rnacentral:rRNA from 1 species
CCUACGGGGUGCAGCAGUGAGGAAUAUUGGUCAAUGGUCGGGAGACUGAACCAGCCAAGCCGCGUGAGGGAUGAAGGUACAGAGUAUCGUAAACCUCUUUUGUCAGGGAACAAAGGCGGGGACGUGUCCCCGGAUGAGUGUACCUGAAGAAAAAGCAUCGGCUAACUCCGUGCCAGCAGCCGCGGUAAUACGGAGGAUGCGAGCGUUAUCCGGAUUUAUUGGGUUUAAAGGGUGCGCAGGCGGUCUGUUAAGUCAGCGGUAAAAGCCCGGGGCUCAACCCCGGCCCGCCGUUGAAACUGGCAGUCUCGAGUUGGAGAGAAGUAUGCGGAAUGCGCGGUGUAGCGGUGAAAUGCAUAGAUAUCGCGCAGAACUCCGAUUGCGAAGGCAGCAUGCCGGCUCCACACUGACGCUGAGGCACGAAAGCGUGGGUAUCGAACAGGAUUAGAUACCCUAGUAGUC